AACCGGCAUUUUAUACAUAACUUUCCUGUUUCUAGAAAGUAGACCUCAGAUAUUAUUAAAUAGUCUGAAAUUUUAGUAAUUUAUAAUUAUAGGGAUAAUAUAAAAUUUUACGUUACCAUUUCGUUCAGUAUUCAAAAAACACUACUGUCUAAAAUAUUCAUUAAGUUAUUUAAAAUCACCCGGUAGUAUGGAAUGCUUAAUUGGCAUAUCAUUAAAAUAUUCGUAUUUAUUGGUUGUGCAUCUAUCUUAUCAAUAUUUUUGAUAAUUUACGACUUUAUAUUUUCUGAGGACUUCCCUUGGAGUUGUUUUAAACAUUCUCCUUGCUAUUUUGGAUUACUUAUACCUGCAUCUAGUAUUGUAGCAUUUGUUUGUACCUUCUUUAAUUGGUUAGGAUUAAAGUUUUUUAUACAUAAUUGAAAUAACAAAUUUAUCAUGAGU